UUUUGAAAAACUUUGAUGGACACUACCUCAUCACAAUCGAUUGUCAUAAGGUUUACAAUCGAUUGUCAUGCAGGUUUGGAAAAACCUGAUGUUCACUGCCUUAACACAAUCGAUUGUCAUUAGUUCACAAUCGAUUGUCAUAGUCUUGGCUUAACAUAAUCGAUUAUCUUAAGUACAUAAUCGAUUAUCUUAGUCCAGAUUUUAGAGGCAUGUUU
rnacentral:lncRNA from 1 species